rnacentral:rRNA from 1 species
CGGCAACAGCUCAAAUUUGAAAUCUGGCUCUUUUAGGGUCCGAGUUGUAAUUUGGAGAGGAUGUUUCGGGUACGGUCCGGGCUUAAAUUUCUUGGAACAGAAUGUCAAAGAGGGUGAGAAUCCCGUCUGGAGCUCGGGCACGGCCUAUGUGAAACUCCUUCGACGAGUCGAGUUGUUUGGGAAUGCAGCUCUAAAUGGGUGGUAAAUUUCAUCUAAAGCUAAAUAUUGGCCAGAGACCGAUAGCGCACAAGUAGAGUGAUCAAAAGAUGAAAAGCACUUUGAAAAGAGAGUUAAAAAGUACGUGAAAUUGUUGAAAGGGAAGCGCUGGCAACCAGACUUGCGCGUCGGGGUUCCCCCUUGCUUCUGCUAGGGUUACUCCCCGGCGUUCAGGCCAACAUCGGUUUCGGGGGUUGGUUAAAGGCCUUGGGAAUGUACUUACCCUCCGGGGUAAACUUAUAGCCCAGGGUGUCAUGCGACCUCCCGGGACCGAGGAACGCGCUUCGGCUCGGAUGUUGGCGUAAUGGUUGUCAGCGACCCGUCUUGAAACACGGACCAAGGAGUCUAACAUCUAUGCGAGUGUUAGGGUGUCAAACCCUUACGCGGAAUGAAAGUGAACGGAGGUAGGAAGCCAUUAGGCUGCACUAUCGACCGAUCCUGAAGUUUACGGAUGGAUUUGAGUAAGAGCAUAGCUGUUGGGACCCGAAAGAUGGUGAACUAUGCCUGAAUAGGGUGAAGCCAGAGGAAACUCUGGUGGAGGCUCGCA